AGAUGAGAUGGGGCCAUUCCAGCACCCCUGCUGGAAGGCGACUGAUUAUUUUCAUUUUUCUUCCCCAUCACCUGUGACCUUGUAUGCCAAGCUUUUGUGCUAUGUUUGUCUCUCAUAAGGCUUUGUUACUGGCAAUAAGCUAAAAGUGGCUGAGGUUUGGUUGGUUUUGUUGUGGAAUUCUGUCUCUGCCCCCUUCGCCUUUGGUCAGACCCAUUUCAGAAAGGAAUUUGUCCCACAGGCAGAUGGAAGUUCCGCACUUUUAACAUAGACGUAUCUGGCUGCUGAUUCAUUCGUGUGUGUGUGUAAGAAGCACAAGCUUUGGGAGAAUAAACAGGAUAACCAAGCGGGCCCAGUCAGUAUUUCUCCUGUUGCGCACAUGUUCCCAUCAACAUCCUGAGAUGCAAAGGGGAGGGGGAGAGACAUGCUACUUGACGGCUUAAAAUGAAUGCAUGUGAAAAUAUGCUUGCCUGUGCUAGACUGAACCCACUUGACAUGUCCCUCCUCAUGCGCACAUGCAUGCCUCUGCGUGUCCACACUUACGCUUCACAGCCAGUGCUUGGACCAUGUGAUGAGACACGCUGGCUGGAGGCUUUCCUGGGGAUUUUCCCUGGUUCGAGGAAACAGGCGAUGAUUCCACUCUGCGCCAGAGACUUUCUAGCUGCGAUUUCCCAGCCUCCCCAGAACAUUUCCGAAUGCCUUUUGAUCUUUGAGACCAAAAGAGCCCCCCAGAUGUGUGGGUGCUUAUAAUGUGUCUGCUCUCCCUGCUUCAUGGGGCAGGAGACACAGGGGCUCCAAUGCCAGCAGGGCUCCUCAUCCAAUGCAUGCAUUUUAUUCUGAGCUUUAUCCAUGGUGGUGAACCUACUUUGGGAAGGGGGUCAGCCCCAUAGGCUAUAAAGUCCAGCACUCCAUUCCCACAGGGGCCCAAAGGAAACACACAAGCCAGGCAGGAGUGCAAGCACCAGUGCACCUGGUCACACCACCUCUGAAACUGUGAGGGGAGCAUGUAGCCCCCUGGACUAGUAGCCAUCCUCCUCCCAUCUCAUCUCUGCUCCCACGGGCAUGCUGAUUCAGCUGGGAGGCCGUGGCACUGCUGUUUCUUGUUCUGAGUCACACUGGUACCUGAGCUCAGGAGAGAGGCAGAUCCAGCUGCAAAGUUGACGGAGGCCAGGGAAGGAUGACAAGCGCUUGUCAAGCAAAAGUUGGAAUCCCCUUCAUAGCUCUGCCCACUUUUGACUCUGGUCCCACCCACGAUAGAAGUAUGACCCCCUACAAGCCUGGUUGCAGCUCUUACAUGACAGACUGUCCCCAUUCCUGGCAUAAAGCAUCCAAGGUCAUUGCAAGUGGGGUGGGGGGAUAGCUUGGUUCGUAAACCCCCCUCUCUCAACGGGAGGCUGCAUUGUCCAAGAGCUCUGAAUCCUGGAGCCAGCCUUGCACUUUGGAAUCCAUGGUGGGCUGCUGGCUGUGUUAUGCAGACACUAAUCCCCAAUUGUUAUAGAAGAUAUGACACUCUGUGGCUUUAAUUACAUUACAAGUAAGGCAAAGACAUCUUCAUGAGCCUCUCAAAGAUUACAGCUUGCUACUGAGAUCUUAAACACUCCUGCAAUAUGUUCACUCUAUUUUCAGGAAGGUGUACGAAAAGUGUGGGGAAGUCAGAGGGACUUCUGGGCAGAGGUCUCUAUUAUCAGUUUUCUCCUGUUGCGACAGGCACUUUGUGAUCUCAUUUUUAUCAGUGGUGUGUUUUUCCUGUUGUUUAUAUUAAUGCUUGCAAAAAGAAUGCCAGAUUUAUUAACUGUGCGAGGUUAAUAAACGUAAGAGGGUUUUGAUGAGGUGGUGGUAGGAAAUGUGCCACUCUCUUAAAGAAAAAAGGAAGGAAAAUAUGGUCACUGUGACUUGAGCAGAAGUGUGUCAUUAAAUCAGAGCAGGAGAGGGGGAAGGUUGAGUAAAAUAGCUGAGGAACUGUUACUUGCAUAAUUCCAGAAAACUCAGCCAGGGCAUCUUGCAGAAGAAGCAGGAAAUGCUUGUGUGCAUCCCAGAAGCUCUACUUUUGGCUUCAUUGUUCUUCAUCCAAGGGCUGCCUGUUACACUUGUUCAGAGAAAUCAUAAUGAUGUGCAGAAAUCCCCCAAAUUCUGCAAGAAGAGAAGCAGAAUGGAUGCUUUGCCUAAGUUCUUCUUCAGCCUCAUGCCCUGCAGAUGCAUUGGACUACAGCCUAGCUCUCUGCAGGAAGCUUGAAAUGGUAGUCUAACAAAUCUGGAGCAUAUGGGGUUGGGGAAGGCUGGUAUAAAGGGUAUGGGCUUGUGUGGCUUCUUUUAUGUGCCUUGAGCUGCUCAUGGGUGGGAUGGGUGGACAUCGGGCAGUGCAGGCUCUCAGAGAGUCCCCUGCUCCACAGCUGCAGAGACUGGGCCCAGUACUGAUGGCACCUGCAGUCUCCAGUGGGGUCCUUAUCAUCCCCUGCAUUGUUAAAGAAUGUAUCUUCCCAUUUUUAGAUCCCACAUGCAUGGCUUUGAACAAAAAGCAUCCAACUUCCCAGCAAUAAUGCAUAAGCUUCAACCAAAGUUGACCAUCAAUAGCUCCUUGAAAGCCAAUGCUCGAGGCUGACUGUUGUGGAAGGCCCAGAGAGCUUCAGCUUCUGGGCAGGAUAGAAAUUGGGUGGGUGGAAACAGAGGCAGCAGAGCUGCCCAUCCCUACUGGCUCGGCACCCUCCCCCGCUUGCCCACAAAGUGGCCUUGCCAGAGUGGCCUUCUGGGGAAACGCAUGAUAUGGCCAGGAAUGGGGAGGGCCCUGCUCUGUCAGGGCUGGCCCUCCUAGCUGGCAGAGGAAGACAGGCAUCCCAGGCCGCGAAUGCUGGGUGGUGGGCAGAAGGUGCCGGAGCAAGAUAGUUGUGUGUCCCACGUCCUGCCCCUCGCCUCUUGUGCUCGCCUGCUGCCUUUGGGCAUUGGGGAGAAAGUGGCCCCAACAGGCCAAACCCAAGCAAGCUGCCUGUCAGACCAGGUGGCUUUUGUAUAUGGAAUGGAAGGUGGGCCUGCCCUGAAUUUUGCCCCAGGCCUUUUCUCUGGCGGCCACCCCAGCUAGGCCCAGCAUGGCAGUCUUUUCAGCCUCAGAUCGAAAACAUGUUUAUUUGCCCAAGAAGCUCAGAUUGGUCACUCAUACUUCAAUGCAGUCUUUAGUCCAUGGUCUCAUACUAGUUUAUUUGUUAUGAAGAUUUUUGCUUUGCUGUAUUUGUAUUUGAUGUGCUUUAUUUUAUUCAUGCCUGCUAUACACUUCUUUCGUAUCCAUAAGAAUGAACAACAGCCUACAAAUAAGCCCAAUAUAUACAUAAAUUAAUUAGAUGAAUAAUAGAGGUACUAUAUUUUGCAAACAAACCACCUUUGCUGCACUCCAUGGCUGAAAUUAACAUGACAAUUUGCCUGUCCGAGGCCAUGUGCUCCUUUCCUAGUUAGCUGUUUCCAACCAGAUGCCUUCCUGAUGUGUUUGACUACAACUCCCAUCAUCCCCUAGUCAACAUGGGCAACACAUCUGGCAUGUACCAAGUUGUGAAAGGCAAAAUUAGACCAACAAGAUGAACGGGUGUUCCAGCAUCAGUACUAUGAAACAGAAUGAUUGUAAAUCAGGAACUUUUGCUAUGCUUUCAGCAGUCCAAGGAAUAUUCAUUCUCGCUUCCUCUCCACACCUCCACAGAGCUUAAUUAAAGAAUACUUCCUAUUAAUUUUGUCCAGCAGCCUUACGGAGCAGCCUGCUCUCCACUCCUGGUCUUCACAUUGGGUCACUGCUUGCCUUAGGACAUGUCCUUACACAGCCGUGAGCAUGGAAUCUUGUUGGGAUGGACGCAUGGGCUACAUUUACUCGGAAUCUGACAACGAGCUGUAUUUAGGCAACGGUAUACCUGGACUGAUUCAGUUAAAUCAGCUGCAUGGAGGUCCUUCAAGCUGAUUGUCUUGAGAAUGGGUUACUUGCUUGAAAGCUCCCCAUUCUUAAAAGAGGCCUACAAAUAGUUUUGGACAGAGAUGUUCAUCUCCAGCAGGAGCAAGUGUUCUGCAAAGCUAAUUGCCCAUUUGAGACUGAGCUGCCCCCACCUGGGGAUGAUAUAUCCUUGCUAGGCAAGUUUGUUUUCAUCAUCUCCACCCCUGCAACUGUGAGGGAUGCUAGCCCUGCAAAUCCAUGAGCUCUGCUUUCACUACACUACAGUGGGAUCUAUUCCAUUUAUUACAAGCAUGCCAAGAUCCACCAGCUGGAACCAGGAGCAGAAGUGACUCAGGAGGGUGACCUGCAAUUGAGAAAGAAGACCAGGUCAAUUCUUGCCCCCUGUCAGCUUGGGUUAAAGAAGGAUACAGCCAAGGGGGUGGUAUGGAACAGCCCUCCCAUUGUAUGUGUUCCAUCACUGAGUAAGAUCUGGAGGAAGGGUUCUCCAUAGCGGCUCCCAGAGCUCUCCACUUGGCCUUUGGUCUGCAGGAGGAAAAAAGCUUAAAGGACAACAUGUAAUUUCUUUAUGAAGGCUGCGAGUUAGAUCUCAUGUGGCAAGCAGCUUUGACGUUUAAGAGAAGCAUUUGUACAUCCCUUUUUGUGACAGCUUCUUUAUUGUUACCUGCAAACGACAUGAUGGGACAGUACGACUAAACACAGUGGAGAGACAUCGUCCACAGUUGGCUGUUUGGAAACAGCAAAAGCAACUUCUUCCCUUCAGUAUGUGUCUUCAGUCGUGUUUACCUUGGCGAGAUGGCCACCUCCUCUCACUGCCAAAAUAACGAGGUGAUAAUGUAGGUCACAGUUGCACAGUCGCCUUCCUGACCUACAUAUCUUAUGCUCUUGUUGGGUGUCACUUAGCAUUACAGCUGACUGAAUGCUUGUGCUACAUCCAGACCCAUUGUCAGUCAAUAAAGAGUGUACAUGUGUGUUA